UACGUAGGGUGCAAGCGUUAAUCGGAAUUACUGGGCGUAAAGCGUGCGCAGGCGGUUGUGUAAGACAGAUGUGAAAUCCCUCGGCUUAACCGGGGAACUGCAUCUGAUACUGGAUGGCUUGAGAUUGGGAGAGGGAUGCGGAAUUCCAGGUGUAGCGGUGAAAUGCGUAGAUAUCUGGAGGAACACCGGUGGCGAAGGCGGCAUCCUGGACCAACACUGACGCUGAGGAGCGAAAGCCCAGGGGGAGCAAAGCAGGGAUUAAGAAACCCGUAGUA
rnacentral:rRNA from 1 species